ensembl:lncRNA
GUGCAAUCACACCUCCCUGCUGUCCCACCACGUUCUGUGCAAGGACUCAGAGAAUCCCUCACAGGACAUUGACUUUAAGCCUUCGUUCUGCCCCUGGAGCUCAAUUCUGCUGGCUGCAGCCCCCCACAUUCACUGCAUGGAUUCCCAGCCAUCGGGCUCUCCAUGCAGGCACUAUGGCCAGAGGGUUGUGCUUGUUGUGGGUGGGAUUUGGGGACAGUUCUUCCUAAAACAGGGCAAGGAGAAAAAAAUAGAGCAUUUCUACUUGUCUGUCUUUGCAGUGUCAGCUCGUAUGCUAUGACCGUGAGACAAAGGAGCAUUUGGCUGUGCAAGGAAUAUGGGGACUUUAGGUUUCAUUGCACACUUCUGGCAAAUGCAACAAAUGCCAUGUGCUUACAUGUUUAUUGUUUGUAACUCUUCAUGUAUUGCAAAAGGAACCGUGCACUGACAUAAUGGCAGCAAGCAGAGCAUCAGCAAGCAGAGCAUCAGCAAUGCAGAGCCGUGGCUUCCCUCCUUCUCCAGUUCUGCUGAAGCAUCUUUCAAAAUCCACAUUAAAGCCCGAAAGCUGCACACGGGAUGGGAGAUCAUGUGGGAAAGAUCAAAGGGAGAGGUUCAGGCAUGAUACAAACACAGGUGCAUACGAAAACCAAAGUCCACCAAUCUUUUCUGGUUGUCGUUUUUCCCCACUUCUCUCUCUCCCCGGAGGGGCGCUCAGCUGAGCCGCAGCCUCCACGCAGAACGGUGUCCGUGCACUGAGGCAGCUCCUCGACCUCUGAUGCUUUGCAGCAUUUCUCACAUCAUUCAUCUUAAAAGCGGCGUCGGCAGCGAAGAGAGCGGCGUGUGAUGGCCGGGAGUGCUUUCAGCCUUUGGGGAGCAGCAGACGUUGUUCAGCGCCUUGCAGGAGCUGCUGGGGACCUCUCAGAUGCUGGCUUGGCUCGUCCUCUGCUGUGCCAUACAGAGCACCCAAGGAGCCCUUUGUGCCCCAUCUUCCGCAGUCACACAACAGCACGCACAGCCCAGGUGGGCUCAGCACGUUGGAUUUGAGAUGAGCAGCAGCACUCUGACAGUCCGUGCACGUUUUGCCAGAGCCCAUCCACCCCUCGGAGCCCACAAGUGGCACAAACCAUCCUGGGACGUUUGCUGCUGGAUGCUGUGCCUUACUUGAAGGACAGAAGCACACAUUACACAGCAAAGCCUACGCUCACCCUUACACGCCCUCCCUCCUCCUGACCACCACCCGCCAUCCAGACUGCAUAAGGAUACAAAGAACAUACACUUGAGAUACAGUGUCCCAUCCAUCAGCCCGCUCUGUUGGGACACUGCUGGAGGUCCCAGCACGCAGGAGCACUGGGAAUGAAGGGUUCUGUGCUGGGCACCACAGCCCCGGGGGAUCGGAGGGACAUUGGCUGCUGGAUGGGAAGAGCUGCUCAACAGCAACAACUGCAGCACGCGGUCUGAGCCUUCCGCUUGGCCUGCCUUGUGAUUCAGAGACUCAACUUUCAUCUUGAAUAUAUAUAUACACGUGUAAUUUUAAUUGGCUGUAACGUCCUCAGAUAGUAACACAGUUAACAGAGUUGGGUGAAGGGCACAAGAGAAAAGGAACUCAAAACAAUGGGGGAAAAUUUGUGUGACUUGCUAACAGAAAUAACAUGUUCAUAAUUACAUCUGGGGGACCUAAGAGGGUCCCAUGGCAUUUCAGUAACCUUACUCACAACCUGAACCCCCCCCCUAGGAGAAGAAAGUACACUGUGAAGCACUGCAGCCCUGCAGACAGCAGUUACUGCACUGCUGCAGGUGUGCUGAUUUCCUUCUGCUGCCUUUUCUCCUCAUACUCCUUCCGCCCACCCUACAAGAAACAGUCUCCAUCAUUGCAGAGGAGGAAAAGCCUCCUUGCACGUGCAAAGGAGUAACAGUGAGGCGGAGCACCUCACCCCAGCAGCACCGUGCAUGGUUGUAACACCAGAGUCCAUCACUCAGUUUGGGACCGGAGCAAAGGCCGGAACCAUUGCUUAACCUGAGCGCAUCCAACGCACCCAGCAGAUCAGCUCCUAAAUGCAUCACGUGAACAUGGAUAUACGCUCAGAUCGAGGUCAUAUAACGAGAUGCUCCGACUAACAUCUGAUGCACCGGAUUCCUGGGAGCGUGCCGUGGGCUCAGCAGCACUGCCAGCACCCUGCAGGUACCCGUCGUGCUGCCCUGCACACCUGCAGGCUGCCAGCUGGGGCUCGUGAGCACACACAGCCACUGCUUGCUGCUGCACAGCUCGUGCAGCCACGGGAGGGAGCGUUGGCAUGGCACGUAACUACAGCCAUGCUGCCAGACACCCGAAGCAAUGAGCACUGCGUUCUGCCCAGCUGGUACCACGGGCCUUGAUAUCAGAGCAGAGCACGCAGAGCAGAGGGCACAGGCCCCACCCCAGCUCUGCCACGUGCUGCUCGAUGGCAGGAAAAUCAGAGAGCAGGCAAUCCAGGUCCCCAAUUAACUCUAUAAAAAGAUCUCGGACAGCAGCGUUAAUUCACCGAGCCCAACUCAAAGUGAGUCAGCCCCAUUGCAACCAGCCCAAAAUGGCUCCUAGCUGAUAAUAAUGGACCGUUUUUAACACAUUCAGCUUUUAUGAAGCUACUGUUGUUAUUAUUUUUCUUUUUUAUUGGCUAACAUUGAAGAUUCCAGCCGCAUAUAUAUCCCCCCCCUCCUCUAAAGAGAGAAUCAUUUUGUGCAGAAAAGACGAUCCUGAAAAACAGCCCAAUUAAACGUGCAACUAUUUGUAACCUUUUGUGUUACUGCAUGGGGUGGUGGAGGAGCAGCAAGGCUGGAAAACACAGCAUCGUGGGGAAAUGUAGCGUAUUAUUAGAUUUGAUGAGAUCCAUUUUCCUGAUGGCUUCUGAAAGAUCUCCGUGCUAAUUAGCUAAGAAUACCGCUGAAUUAUUUAAUUAUCUCUACUUUUGUGCCGUGAAAUAUGUUGUCAUAUCACACACGCUAUCUCGCCGUUGCUGCUCACACUUAAUGAUGCCUUUAUAGUUCGUGAUUUCCUUUGUUCUCCCCCUGUAAGUGGGUUUUGGUGGUGCUGGGGAGGGGAGGGUGCAGAGAAGGACGCAAAGCAAAAAUAUCUGCUUCAGAAGAAAAUCUGACAUGUGGGAAAACCUCCAUGCACUUCUCUCGAGCUCCGGUCCCCUUUGCCACACGCAGAGCAUGCUUUGCCUCCACAGAAUGUCUCGGUGCUGCAGCGGGGCUGCACUCAUUGCUAACGCAAUGGGGAUUGCUUUCCAAAGGAAGAGCAAAGAAAGCAUCGCCUGGCAAAAUUUUAAAGCAGCAAGGAGCGUUUUUAACAAGGAAGAGGUAGAUUAUGGUAAUGACUCUGACUGGUAGGGUCCUUAAGCAUUACUAAUUAGCAUUUAUUGCCUGGAUUAUUGAAACAAUGUGUGUGUUCCCAAGAGUGAAGAAGAACCGGGAUGCUCUUUCCUUCCGAGCGCUGGGAACGGGGCCGGGCAGCAGCGCUGUGCAGUUGGCAGUGGGUGAGCAGAGCUGCACGGUGCCAGCAGGAACCCACAGCCCCGCCAGCUGCUCCACCUCACAGCCGCGCUCCGCUCUGCUCCCAGGAAAGAAAAAAAAAAAACCCCAAAAUAAUAAUUAAAAAAUAGGGCAGCACAAAAGGAAAGCGGCCAUUAAAGCGCUCAACGCAUUUGGCAGGAGGAGCAGGUGAGCGUUUACCUGAUACUCUGCCUUCUGUUCCUACCGGGGCUGUGCGCAAACGGAUUAUGAAUAAACAUUUCAUCACGUUAAAGCACUGAGAAAUGAAAGAGUUAACAGCACUGACAGCAAGAGGUGCAGAAUUCUGCCAUUUGCAGCGAGCGCUCGGCUGCCUCGAGAUGACUUUGAGGCUGCAGUCAGAUUUCCUCCUAAGCUGCGCCUUCAUAGCAACAAAGAUUUAUAAGGAGAAUGAAGUUUUGAAUUAGAAAUCAAUUAGAAAUUAAUCGAUCAUCUAAUCAGCACUGGUCGCUACGCUCAGCUAUAGGAUCUCAGCUACAAUUUGGUGGCUGGCCCAAAAAAAUCCUUAUGCGCUUUGGAAAUGAUUCAGAAGGAAAAGACAGAGUUUCCUCCAGGUUUGGAGCCACGAGGCCAUGCAGCCUCACGUUAAAGCAAAAGGGCAGCGAUGGAAGAAAGGUGCAGAAAGCCUUGGAUUAUUUUUAUCCUCUAUGUCUUUUUACAGCCACCAAACCCGAGCGCCUUUCAACUUGGGAAAGCAAGUUCCAACUCAGCUGCAAGGAGGUCAGACUCCCAGAGCUGGAUGCUCCAGCUGCUGCUCAGACAGAACUCCCACAUAUCGGAGCUGUGCAAAACCGGAGGGUUGUUUUAUUUUUUUCUAAGUGCAAUAUUCCACAAAGACAGACGUUACUUUGUCCUCCGUGUCUCCCUUUAAUUAUCUGCAGGACGUGUUACACAGAAUACUUGGGAAUGUGUUAAAUUAAAUGUCAGGAUGCCAUAUUCCAUAUAUCCCUAACUGCAACGAGCCCCAGCCUGGCAUUUUGUAGAGCUGAAUAUGACCUUCGAUCCGCACCGAGCCCGAUUCCUUCUCUCUGUUAAUUCAACUCACGCCCAACACUUAUUUUUCUCUGCCAUUUUCCUUUUCAAACACAAAACUGCUUUUUGCCCACAGCUUGCUUUCAUUCUGGUUAAAACGCACCGGAAUGAAACCAGCACUGAAGGAACGGUGUCAGGCUGAGACGAGCUCUGCCUUUACCGCUACGGACACCACGCCAAAGCGAACCCCGAACACAACAUCCCUCCUUUUGUCUGCAGAAGGCAAAGAACGCCGCAGAAGCGCAGCGCUGAAGCGCAGCUCCCUGCCCAGCACUCCCUCCCGUCGGCUAUUAAUACCGCAGCUCCGUUCGGGGAACGCUGACAUUGGCGCAGCGCCCCGCGGAACCUGCGCUGGGGGCCGAGGGGCGAGAAAACGCCUUCCGUCUCACUCGUUCUGCCUGGAAAAGCAAAGGACGGGGUCCGGCUUCGUGACCUCCCUCCCUGUUUUAUCACCGUAUGGUUUCUUUACUCUCGGUUACCCCGAUCGUAUUAUUUUUUCCCCUUGCAGCAGCAAGGCCCGGAGCAGCCGCGCUGUCCCUUUAAGCCGCCAGCCCCUCUAAUUGAUGUGUCUGGGCGAGUCUAGACUGGUAGUGAUUGAACCCGCUCCCAAUUAUGUUCUUCACUGCGCCGGAGCUGAGCGCUGCGCGCCCGGCGGGGAGGGGAGCGGGCGCUGCCUCUGCAGCACGGAGAGCCCCCCCACCCCCCACUCCUCCUCCUCCUCCUCGGCGCCCCCCUCCCUUCCUCGGUGCUCCCCCUUUUCCUCAGCCCCCCCCCGGCCAUUGUUUUGCCGCAGCUCCGCGCAUCGCCCCCUCCGCAGCCGCGCAUCGCCCCGCGGCAGCGCGCAGACAAUAGCGCCGUACCGCCCCCGGGGGCUGCAACAAAGCGCGGCCCCGCGCUGCAAGCUGGGUUUCAAAUGGGCUCUGGUGGGGGAAAAAAUAAUUAAUAAUAAUAAUAAUAGUAAUAAUAGUAAAAGGGAAAGUAGUUUUUGUCUGUCUGUCUGUCCGUGCCCUGCGCGGGGAUGGGGUCAGCACAAAGGUGGGCGGGUUGCUGCGCGCUGCGCUCCGCUCCCUUUGCCCAGCAGGUAAUGGGACGCUCGGAUAGGUUUCUCGCUUCGAAAUUCGGGGUAACGUACAAACGCGGCUCAGUCGGCAUUGUUUUCAUAACGGUCAAUAAAAUUACAGCGUCAAUAGAAAGCAAAAAUACACAGCACCGAGAAGCGAGCAGAACCUUUUCCACUUCGAUCCCUAUUAAACAACGGUACCGUCGGGUGUGUGCGGAGCGCUGAGAGAACCCGACGUUGCACCAUCGAUUCAUUCUCGGUGCAUUGUGGUCGGAGUUAAAGCAUUUGCAUUCAAAUAUCAGACAGCAAUUCGGUGCCAUAACAAGGUACAGUAACUGCAUUACAAAUCGCCUUGCAGAACACAGAUAAGAAAUACAGUUCCAGCCAUAAUUAGUUUUACAGCAGCAUUAAAAAAAAAAAUAUCUAAUAAGGAAAACAGCAGCGGGGAACACUUUUAACAUUUCUCGUUUGACAUUUACAUCGCGUUGGGACUGAAAAACCAGGAAGCUGGACGUUCCAGAAAAGGACUACAACAAAAGUUCAGCGUUUGCUGGUCAUUUCUUUCAGUCAUUUCCAACCAGGGGUGCACGCAGCCAUUUUAUUCUUUAUUUUCGCUCUAACAAGCAGUGAGAUCCGACCCUUCUCCUGGCUGGAUAUUUUUCCUCCCCCCCCCCCUCUCUCCGAAGAGCACAUUUCUAAGAUUAAUCGUUCGGUUUUAAACUUGGAAGCAUGAGGCAUGCUGGGAUUUCAGCUGAGGUCAAGCACCAAUGUACCGAGCUGUUACUGUUACGCUCUCAGGGUACUCCGUGCUGCUCUCAAGGAGGAAAAUAGCAAGGAGAGAUGAUGCUGUGCGCCCGCACCGGCCUGCAGCAAGGCACAGCUCUCCCAGCAGGAAAACACGGCUCUGGCUAUUAAUACACCUCCGUAUGUAAAUAUAUAUACAUAUCUCGGGUUUAUUUACCCCCAUACAUAUUCAUACACACGUAUCGUCCGUGUGUGUCUCUAUACACACACCUCAAGAGCUGUAUUUCCAUGCAUCCAUCCCGCGUGUCUCUUAUCUACACACGCGUGGAUGUAAUAACGCCGUGUGUACACACAGACACCCCCGUACAGCAUCACUGCACAAUCAGCCCGUGAAUACACACACACACACACACAGACCGAGAGAAACCUCCGGCAUAACCAACGCCGUGUUAAUGCGAGGUUGGGAAGGUGAGCGGCCACCACUGCCCUGCCAUGAGGAGAGCUGCACUUUGCUUUGCUUCCCCCCCCCCCACCUCCUUUAAAAGGUCUAUGAAACAGCGCUGCAUGUGUGUGUAUAUUCUCGAUAUACCCGCAUAUACAUUUUAUAGAUAGAUAGAUAGAUUUAUAAAAAUAAAAUAAAGAUGUCAAAGCACAACUCACAGCUCCCAAGAGCCUAACCCGUGGAUUUAAAAGCUAAACAUCACAAGUUAGGGUCUCAGGGAUUGAGAGGGGCGCAACGAGCUACUCCUGGCAGAAACCGGGGAGCAAAAAUAAAAGGUAAAAAGGAGAGAGAGGGAAAGAAUAGCAGGCAAGUUCAAUUCCUGGCUCAAGAUUACAAAACAGGACACACAGGUGGAAGGAAAGAGCUUCUCUAAGGACCCUGUGUUGAGAGAAUACAUUCCAUUUUUAAUCGUUCGCACAAAAAAAUGACAAGGCGCGGCAGGUUCCUUACAGCUCCCACCAAGGUCGCUUGCGACAAAUGCAUUAAAUAACGAAGAGGAAGAAAGAAAGGGAAGUUCGGGGCAGUGACGGAAUUAUUUUCAUUGUUUCAACGAAAAGGAAUGCAGAAAUAAGAGCAGGAAUAUGCAGGCUCUCCCUGCAGCCGCCUGGCACAAAGCGUGCAGCAGCAUAAAGGAGCUGCCUCCCCGCCCCCUCCGCCAGCCCGCGGCCGGCGGGGAUGGAGAAAAACCCCGAGCCGCGAGAAAAUCAGGGAAUAUAUCAAGGAAAAGGGGGGAAAAGGAACCGAAUUCCUCCGCAGCUCCUCGCCCCGCCGCCCUCCUCCCUCCGCGCUCCCCACCGCCGUUGUUGUUAUUAUUAUGAUCGCUGCGAAGGGACGCGGCCGGGGGGGGUCCGCACGCCGCGGCCCUCUCCUCACCCCCCAGCAGCAGCCGGGGGCGGCCGGAGCGGGACCAGCCCUGCGCUGUCAGCGCUGCCGCAGCCCCGUUGCGGCCCGGGGGCUCCGGAGGGAAACCUGGAGAGAAACCCCGGGCAGGAGGGACCCCGCGCCCCGCACGCACCCGCACACACAAAGGGACUCCAUCCCGCACCGACUCCUCUCCGAGCACCUUGUGCAACCCCAGCCAAUGGAAAUUUACGCCGGCCAUAACCGAGAGCAGGAUUUCGUCCCCAGCUUGCCACCUCCUUCUCCGCUCUUCUCUCUUUCCCUCCCUCCCUUUCCUCCCUCUUCCCCCCCUUCCUCUCUCCCAACCCCCCCCUUCCACCCCCCCCACCCCCCCCCCCAAAUAAAUAAUAUGGAUCCGCACCCUCCACCCAUCUCUGGGACCGCUUUAGGCCCAGCGGCAUAACCGGGGAGAAGCCCAAACGUACCGGAGGGCCCGAGUUGAAAAAAUGCAAAAUAUCCGCGGCUCCUCAUCCGCCGCUGCCGAAAGCAGAAACCCCCCCCGGCCCCGCCGCUCCCCGCCCCGCAGCCGCCCCGCACGGCACCGGGCACCACCACCGCCCCAUCCUCACCCACCCCGUCCUUUUCUCACCUCGGGAGUCUGAGCCCAUUCACCAAAGUCCUUCCUCGUCCAGGCUCUCAAAAUCUUUUUUUUUUCCUUUUUUUUUUUUUUUUUUCUCCUCUUUCCUCCUUCUGGAUCAGCCAGUCCCGACAUCAUUAAACUACAGUCCUCCUCUUCCUCCUCCUUCCUUCUCCCCCCUUCUUAUUUUUUUUUGUUUUGUUUUGUUGUUUGUUUUUUUUUUUUUUUUAAUUUCGAAAAAGGGGGAGUGGAGGGGAGGGGGGGGCUGGGGGGGGGGGAGAGCAGACAUAGCUGCAUGAAGUGGCUGCCUUUUAGAAAGCACAUUUAAUCUUUACUGGCUCCCCUAGGCUUCGAUGAAGUAGAAGGGAAAGGAGAGGAGAGGAGAGGGGGAAAGAAAAAAUACAGGCAAGGGAGGCUGUUGAGGGACAGCAAGCAUCAGGCUCAAAUCAACGACCAGAUGAAAAUGUACUAGACCACACUGCCCCCUCUCUUCCUCUCGCUCUGUCUCCGUCUCUCUCACACACUCUCACUCCUGGAAAGCUUCAGUGUCUGGUUACAGACUCUUUUGGAUCCUUCCCCCCCCCUCCCCACCCUCGCCCUUUGCCAACUAUCCUAGAGAUUCCUUGCAUGCCUACUUAAAUCUUUAACAGAAUAAGGACCCGGCUCCCCCCGCCGCCGCCGCCAGCCUCGCGCAACACCCCGACCCGCUCCCCCCUCCCCAAUAAUCCCUUAAGCUCCCGGGAGGAACCGCCGCGGCCGCCCCG